CGACGUAGGCAACCUGCCUUGUAGCGGGGGGAUAACUAUUGGAAACGAUAGCUAAUACCGCAUAACAAUAGGUGACACAUGUCAUUUAUUUGAAAGGGGCAAUUGCUCCACUACAAGAUGGACCUGCGUUGUAUUAGCUAGUAGGUGAGGUAACGGCUCACCUAGGCGACGAUACAUAGCCGACCUGAGAGGGUGAUCGGCCACACUGGGACUGAGACACGGCCCAG
rnacentral:rRNA from 1 species